UGAACCUGGCACUUCGAUUGGGCCCUCUGUCGGAUGCCAUCAGUGUCGCUCCCAGAGUCCCUCGUAUCCCUUUUAUGACUCAUGUGUAUUCUUCCCCUGAUGUCGUCGUGUCUUCACUUCCCUCGGCCUGAAAUUCUUCUUUGGAGGACUGCCCUCAGACUAUGGGGCUGCUUCUCCCGGAACCCCGGACAGCUGGAGGAGUGUGGAUCUCUUUGGCAUCAUCAAAAGCCAUGAUGACUCUUCCUUCUGAAAUGAUUGAGGACACUUUCUUGCUGGAGCCCAGGAGGGGCUGAGAGUGAAGAUGUCCCUGAGUUCUCCAGUUCUAGCUCAGCUUUGUCACUCCUGAGAGCUUCCGGCUAUUGGCGAACCCUCCAAAAAACAUUAAAUUUACUUUGAUGCAAUGUAGUUUAAGCUCAUAUUGAAGGAAAAAAUUGUUGCUUGAUUA